rnacentral:rRNA from 1 species
AUUGAACGCUGGCGGCAGGCCUAACACAUGCAAGUCGAACGAGUGGAGGACGGGUGAGUAAUGGAUGGGAACAUGGCUGACGUGGGGAGCAGACUAAUGUAAACGGUAGCUACUACUGCAUAACAUCGGAUGUGCUCAGAUGGGAUUAGCUAGUAGGUGGGGUAAAGGCUCACCUAGGCGAAGAUCCCUAGCUGGUCUGAGAGGAUGACCAGCCACACUGGAACUGAGACACGGUCCAGACUCCUACGGGAGGCAGCAGUAGGGAAUAUUGGGCAAUGGACGAAAGCCUGAUGGAGCAAUGCCGCGUGUAUGAAGAAGGCUUUCGGUUUGUAAAGCCCUGUCAGUGGAGAGGCGUUACCUGCAGAGGAAGCCCCGGCUAACUCCGUGCCAGCAGCCGCGGUAAUUC